rnacentral:rRNA from 1 species
GUUCAUUCCUCCGCGCCGCCACCUCCUCCCGCUUCCUACCACCAUCUUCCCCGGCCACCGGCGGCGGCGACAAUGGUGCAGGGACGCCAGGGCCAGCGCGUCAGGCUCUACGUGCGGGGCACCAUCCUGGGCUACAAGAGGUCCAAGUCGAACCAGUACGAGAGCACGUCGCUGCUGCAGGUGGAGGGGGUGAACACCAAGGAGGACGUGUCGUACUACGCCGGCAAGCGCAUCGCCUACGUCUACAAGGCCAAGACCAAGAGCAGCGGCACCGCCGUCCGCUGCAUCUGGGGCAAGGUCACGCGCCCCCACGGCAACUCCGGCGUCGUGCGCGCGCAGUUCCGCUCCAACCUCCCCGCCACCUCCAUGGGCAAGAAGGUCCGCGUCUUCAUGUACCCCAGCAGCACCUGAAGGUAGAAUGUGUCCUGAUACUAAUUCUUCAGUGGCUUAUGCACGUAUAAUGUGUGUUUGUUGUCCAUUUAGAUACCUACGACCAUGGCCUAAUUUGUUAUCUCAGAUUGUGGAAAUGAUUUCAUCUUAGACUGUUAUACGUUUUGAUUGCUGUGUGCAAUGCAUUCAAGGGCCCCAUGCCAUUUGGGGGAAGCUCUUUCAGUAGCUUCGAAAUACCUGCAGGUUCUCUGCGGGGUGCUCGGAAGUUGGGGCCCUAGAUAAAAUGCAGUGGUCUCAUAGUACGAGGAUGUGCUUUGGUCGAUGAGUUUCUCACGGACCAGUUUCUCGCAGCCUUGCCUCCAAAGACCCCAAUACUUGUUCAAUCAUAACCCUUAUAAUCGUGGCAUGGAAAGUUAGCAUGUUGUGAGUGGUGAGAUUUGUUUGCUGUACUAUUCUGUAUACAUUUCUAGUACCAUUUACUCCAAUCUGCGUUUUUGUUUGAUUUCGGUAGCUCUUGGUGAUGUAUUAGUCUCUGGAGUAUUCAACUUGUCUUUGUUUCCCUUGUGAACUUGAUGGAUGUACUGAACCAGAUAACCCUGUUGGUUCCCCCAUCAGUGUUUCCAAGGCAUCAGAGUUGGUAAAUAUUGUGAAAUCAGUUCAUGCAUAGUCAACCUUAGAAUUCGAGGCAUGAACUAUUUCUGUUUUUGCAUCUGAUUGUUGUGCACGUUCAAGGGCCCCAUGCCAAUUGAGGGAAGGUCUUUUUGCUAGCUUCGAAAUACCUGCAGGUUCUCUGUGGGGUGCUCGGAAGUUGGGGCCCGAUAUAAAGUGCAGUGGUUUCAUAGUACGAGGAUGUGCUUUGGUUGAUGAGUUACUCGUCGACCAAUUCUUCACAGCCUUGCCUCCAAUGACCUCCAUAUUUGUUAUUUCUUGUUAGUGUAUCACUCGUGCAGUAAGAUUGAUUUGCUUGUUGUACCAUUGUAUACUUAUGUUGUUUAGGUAUUUGAGAUGUUUUAUUCCUUGCAUUGGAUUGCAUAUUGUUCCCUUAACUCUAGAAUCCAGAAAUAGGGAUUAUGAGCUAGACGGGCUUUUGGAUCGUUGCCUUAAUACAAUGUAUUUAAGAUCACAGCGUGUUUUAUCUUUACUUGCUACCUGUGUUUUAUGUUUCAAUGAUAUCACUAUGUAGUUUCUUUUCCUGAAAGUUCCAAUCCUUGUUUACAAGCAUCACAUGCCCAGAAAUGCGAGAACUCACAUGUGCUUCUCUUUCUCUUUGCAGGCUAUGUUGCCUAUUCUAUUUAGAUCUAGCUGGCUUUGUGGAUGUCUGUUAUCAGUUUGAUGACAGGUUUAUAACCAAAGAUUUUGUCGGUGAUUUUGGAAGAGUUUAGUUACAGACUGUUAGUUUCGUCUCGUGUAACUCAACUUGGUGACACAUUUUGCUCUGAAAUGAAGUAUGAUGUGGCUAUAAACUGUUUCUCUGGAGGAUCCGUAACAUAUUGAUUGAGAUGAUGUUUUCUCAGCCCUUUGUUUGAUGAGCUUAGUUGAGUGUCUUCUGUCCUGAAUCUCGAUUUCUAUUACUCCUUGGGCCAUGGUCUGUUGUACAAGACAUGGUCAGUUUUUGGACGCACCGUUAACCGAUUUUAUCAUCAAACUUCUCAAGUUUUCUUGUGUCACUAGGCAAGCUUGCAUAGCUGCAAGCAUGCAACAACUAGUUUUUCGCCCAGUUGAUCCUGAAAGCAGCAUAUUUCUGGCCAUCGUGAUGAAUCUAAG